CCGGCUGCCGCCGCGGCUGCUCGAGCUGGUGCAGCUGGGCGAGCUCGUGCGGGCGCCGCCGCCGCCGCCGCCGCCGCCGCCGCCGCCUCCGCUGCUGCCCACCCCGCCGCGCCGCCGGCGCUGCCGGUCCUGCAGGCGGCCGCCGGGGAGGGGCGGCCGAGAGAACAGAGCACGAGGAGGCGGAGGCGGCGGAGAAGUGAUGCUGGCACCGGGGAUCCGGGCAGCGGCAGCGGAGCAGCAGCAUCUCCGGGACCUCGGCUGCAGCGUCCCUGUGGCCCGCGGGCCAGCCAAGCGGCGGGAGACCUCGCGCCCCUCGGAGCUGGUAGAGACGCUUCAAGAACUGCUCAGUCCCGGAGUGGAGGGAUUAUGUGAAGACCCCAGUGCUUUACCCUGAGACCAAGUGCAGAGGUUUUCAUUAUAGGGGGAAUUCAUGAGGCAGCAGAUCCAAAAGCAAGAUCACCACAUAGAGUUGUGUAGUUUGCGUGUUGCACAGAAGUGCUCUGCCAAAAAAAACAGGAAGAGAUGAAGAAGAGGCAUUGGUUGGCUCUCUAUGCAGUGUGCUCUGGGGACAUCUGCAUUCUCCUGGAAGAGGGAACAUUUUUUUUGGCACAAAGUCAUCUUGUUCCUGACAGGCUGCCGAUCACCCAGAUGAGGUAUCUUUUUCUAAUUCAACUGUGCAGAGAGGGUUCUUUUUUCUAAAUUCAUUCAAGACACCAUAUGAGCUAACAGUGGCCCUACUAAGAUCAGAGGGGACUUGGGCCAGGCUAAAGCAGAUAUAUUAGAAGUAGUUCUAUGCCUCCCCAGUGUGCAGGUCUGGGAACACACUGGAAGGGAUGCUGGAGAAGGGUUCUUAAGUCCCCAAGCUGCAUCCUUAUAUUAAAAUUUUGCUAUUUUAGGGGCACCUGGGUGGCUCAGUCAGUUAAGCGUCCGACUUCAGCCAGGUCAUGAUCUCGCGGCCCGUGGGUUCGAGCCCCGCGUCAGGCUCUGGGCUGAUGGUUCAGAGCCUGGAGCCUGUUUCCGAUUCUGUGUCUCCCUCUCUCUCUGCCCCUCCCCCGUUCAUGCUCUGUCUCUCUCUGUCCCAAAAAUAAAUAAAUGUUGAAAAAAAAUUAAAAAAAAUAA
rnacentral:lncRNA from 1 species